rnacentral:rRNA from 1 species
AUUGAACGCUGGCGGCAUGCCUUACACAUGCAAGUCGAACGGCAGCACGGGAGCAAUCCUGGUGGCGAGUGGCGAACGGGUGAGUAAUAUAUCGGAACGUGCCCAGUCGUGGGGGAUAACGUAGCGAAAGCUACGCUAAUACCGCAUACGAUCUACGGAUGAAAGCGGGGGAUCGCAAGACCUCGCGCGAUUGGAGCGGCCGAUAUCAGAUUAGCUAGUUGGUGAGGUAAAGGCUCACCAAGGCGACGAUCUGUAGCUGGUCUGAGAGGACGACCAGCCACACUGGAACUGAGACACGGUCCAGACUCCUACGGGAGGCAGCAGUGGGGAAUUUUGGACAAUGGGCGCAAGCCUGAUCCAGCAAUGCCGCGUGCAGGAUGAAGGCCUUCGGGUUGUAAACUGCUUUUGUACCGAACGAAACGGCCUCUCUUAAUACGGGAGGCUAAUGACGGUACCGUAAGAAUAAGCACCGGCUAACUACGUG